UUCAACGGCCGCGGUACCCUAACCGUGCGAAGGUAGCGUAAUCACUUGUCUACUAAAUAUAGACCAGUAUGAAUGGCCCCACGAGGGUUAUACUGUCUCCCAACUUCAAUCAGUUAAACUGAUCUCCCCGUGAAGAAGCGGGGAUAUAACUAUAAGACGAGAAGACCCCAUGGAGCUUUAAACUAAGAGUCAACUAUUUAAUAAAAUACCCCAAAAUAUACUAGCUAUGACCUCAAAGUUUUCGGCUGGGGCGACCACGGAGUAUAACAAAACCUCCACGUUGAAAGGACAUUAAAUUCUUACCAAAGAGCCACACCCCAAAGGAUCAUAAUUAUGACAUCUCUUGACCCAAACCUCUUGAUCAACGAACCUAGUUACCCUGGGGAUAACAGCGCAAUCCAUUUCAAGAGCCCCUAUCGACAAAUGGGUUUACGACCUCGA
rnacentral:rRNA from 1 species